rnacentral:rRNA from 1 species
CGUUAUGUGGGCACUCUAAGGAGACUGCCGGUGGACAAACCGGAGGAAGGUGGGGAUGACGUCAAGUCAUCAUGGCCCUUACGGCCUGGGCUACACACGUGCUACAAUGGUCGGUACAAAGGGUUGCCAAGCCGCGAGGUGGAGCUAAUCCCAUAAACCGAUCGUAGUCCGGAUCGCAGUCUGCAACUCGACUGCGUGAAGUCGGAAUCGCUAGUAAUCGUGAAUCAGAAUGUCACGGUGAAUACGUUCCCGGGCCUU